UCCGGCUUAUAACCGGCAGUUUCGUUAAAGUGCCCAGCUUAACCUGAUGGCAACUAACGAUAAGGGUUGCGCUCGUUGCGGGACUUAACCCAACAUCUCACGACACGAGCUGACGACAGCCAUGCAGCACCUGUGAACACCCGGCCGAACCGAGAGCUUCUAUCUCUAAAAGCCUUAAUGUCCAUGUCAAGAGCGGGUAAGGUUCUGCGCGUUGCUUCGAAUUAAACCACAUACUCCACCGCUUGUGCGGGUCCCCGUCAAUUCCUUUGAGUUUUAAUCUUGCGACCGUACUCCCCAGGCGGGAUGUUUAACGUGUUAACUACGACACCGAUCCCAUAAGGACCAACAUCUAACAUCCAUCGUUUACAGCGUGGACUAC
rnacentral:misc_RNA from 1 species